rnacentral:lncRNA from 1 species
GUAUAAGCUCUGGUAAGCUAUUUGGAUGACUUGUGUUGAGAAAUAGGCACGGCUUCGGAGUGACUUGUAUUUCUGUGUUGACCCUGAACAGAACUUUCUACUGUCUGCUGUGGGUCCUAGGGAGACUCAUAAAGGGACAGUGUGGGUGCUGGGUGAGCAACUUCAUGCACUGGGGAGUAAGAUGCUUGUCUCAGUAGUUAACCACAGGCCUGGCUGUCAGGCCACAUGAGUUAGAAGAGAAACAGUGUUGGAAAGAAGUACACUCCUGCUGUUGUGUAGCCAUCACACCACCAUCUCCAGAACUUUCUCAUCAUCUCAAAGUGAAACUCUAUACCCAUGAAACAAUUGCCAAUUUCUCCCUCUCCCCAGCCCCUGGUAACCACCAUUCUACUUUCUGUGAAUUUGACUCCUCUAGGUACUUCAUAUGAGUGGAAACCUGCCAUAUUUGCCCUUCUGUAUCAAAUAAUGCCUUCAAGGUUCAUCCAUGCUGCAGCGUGUGUCAGAAUUUCCUUUUUGUUGUUGUUGUUAUAGCUGCACCUGAGGCAUAUGGAAGUUCCUGGGCCAGAGAUCAGAUCAGAGCUGCAGCUGCCAGCCUACACCACAGCCACAGCAACACCAAAUCCAAGCCAAAUCUUCGACCUAUGCCACAGCUUGCAGCAAUACUGGAUCCUUAACUCACUGAGCGAGGCCAGGGAUCAAAGCUGCAUGCUCAGACACAAAUCAGAUCUUAACCAAUGAGACCCAAUGGGAAAUGCAGAAUUUCCUUCCUUUUUAAGGUGAGGUGAUGUUCCGCUCUAUGAAUAGGCCACAUUUCCUUUGUCCAUUUAGCUGUAGACAGACAUCUGAAUUGUUUCCACUUUUUGCUAUUGUGAGUCAUGCUGCUCUGAGCGUGGGUGUCACAGUAUUUUGGGGGGGGGUGCAUAGUGGAGUUGGCUCAGCACCUUUGGCACAGCCUUCCUGGAUUUGGGGAAUCGCACUCCUGCGAGCCCUGUCCCCCCCAGGAAGCCGUCGGUAUCUCAUUUCUGCAGGAUCCUUGGGAACGUGACACGUGAUGAGGCUCAGCCAAUAGGACCCCCACAUAAAGACUUGUCACUGAAAGAGAGUAACAGGAGGAAGGAGGCACUGUGCAGCAUUGGUUCUGAGGUAGCAGAGGAAACAGCUUCAGGAUGCAGCAGGGGCAGCCUGCUGGGCAACUGUGUCAGGAGCACCUGCAACGGAGCACUAGGCGUUGUCCCUGGGGUAUAUUUCUCCCCUCACAGCAUCCAGCCCAAUUCUCUGUCGCUCCCAGAAAUUCUCCAAGCCACUUACUUAGUGAACUCCUCUUCUAUUUAAACCAGCAGGUGUUUCGUUUGCAGCAAAUAUCCUGGCUGGUCCAAUAUCGGGGCAGGUGCCAUGUGUGGCACGGAGCACGGGAUUUGGAGCCCAGAGACCUGAGACCAAGUGUCUGCUCAGCUACCGAUUCUCAGCCUGUUUCACCAAAGUGCCGUUUCUUGUCUGGAACAUGGUUGUCAUCGCCUUUGCUUCUUCUUGCCGCAGUGAGAAGUCCAUGGCAUGUCACAAAGGAAAUCCUUUGUGAGGGGCGAUUGAAACGUCUAAUGGGGAGUCAUAUCCUUGUGACUUCACUGGGGAUCCAAGCUGCCCUUGCUCUUAAAUGCUAAGCAAUUUGGGCUUAACAUUCUGUAUUCUGCAGGCCACUUGCCCUGGGAGUUUGAAUGAACCCACACAAGUGCACAAGUGCCCUUUUUGGAAAUGUAACAAGUCGAUAAAGGCAGAGCGAAGGGGAGCAGAGGUAUUUAUUAGGCAGCACUUGAUGAUCCAAAUGACCAAAUGCAGUGCAGUGAAGCUGAUGAGGAAGAGAAUGAGGGUGAUAGGAAGAUUUAUUGCUUGGUUUUUGUACCGAGAACUUUGCGAUCAUUUGCAGUGUCUCUUGUAACCCUCUGCAUCAGGAGUUGGCAAACCUUGACUCACAGGCCAAAUCAGACCCACCACCAGUUGUGUAAAUAAGGUUUUAUUGAGACACAGCUAUGCCCAUUCAUUGACUAUGUCUGUGGUUGCUUUCAUUCUACAAUAGCUGAAUUGAGUAUUUGGAACAGAGUUCAUAUGGCCCCCAAAGCCUAAAUGAUUUGCUAUCUGACCCUUUAUGGAAAAAGUUGCUGGCACUUUGCUCUAAACGAAGCAUGAGAGAUGGAUAUUAUUGUUCUACCCGCUUUCCAGAUUGGGAAACCAAAUGGAAAGGGAUUGUUCCAAGAGCUAAAUCUCAAAAGUCCCGAAUUUUAGAUUUGAGUGCAGAGAUCAUGCUCCAGCCACUAAGCUUUCAACUUUUCCAUCAUUUUAUGGCAGUGAUACCUGCUUCUUCUUCCUUUCUCUCUGGGUAACUGCUAUAAAACCCAGUCACCACCCUCCAACUUCAAAUGACAGCAUCAGCCCUGGACUGAAAGUGCCGCUUCCUGCCCCCAGCCUCUCUAUCGGAACUGGACGUUGCUUCCUUAGAGGUUACUGCUGCCUUGCAGCUCUCAACAUCCGUCAGUUCCCCGAAGCCAAACAUCCAUUAGUUCCCCAAAGCCACGGCGCUAUCUUUCUGGUGAAUGGUUGGAAAUCAGUUUGGGAACUGAAUCCAGGGACCCAGGAGAAAGGCAGCUUUGCCAGGCAUGGCUGGCUUUGUAGAAACUUCCCUCUGGAGCAUGGGUUUCCAGGGGGACAGCUCAUGUCACUUUGGUGUCUCUGUACCACACCCCCUGUUAGGGAGCCCCAAGCCCCAGAGGAUGCCUGGGGAUUCUGCUCUGCUUCUCUUUGGAGCCUAAAGCUUACUUGGGAAGGAUUAGUCUCUGACAGUAAACAACCGCAGACUGUGGAGAGGGGCUCCUGGGGCCGGGCGCCUACUCACCGCCUGUUGGCGCAGAAAUUGAGAAAGAGGGAGCCAGAGAGCAGCUACUUAGGCGGAUGAAGAGACCCAACUGUGUCACCGUCCUGCUUUCAUUGCUUCCUCACCUCUGUGUUUUUUGUUUUGGGUGUUUUUGUUUUGUUUUUUGUUGGUUUUUUUUGUUUUUGUUUUUGUUUUUUUUUUUUUUUUUUGCUUUUUAGGGCCAUACCCACAGCAUACAGAAGUUCCCAGGCUAGAGGUUGAAUCAGAGCUGCAGCUGCCAGCCUACCCCAUGGCCACAACAAUGCAGAAUCUGAGCAGCAUCUGCGACCUAUACCACAGCUCACGACAAUACCAGAUCCUUAACUCACUGAGCAAGGCCAGGGAUCGAACUUGCAUCUCCAUGGAUACAGGACAGUAUCCAUGGACAGUGGGUUUGUAACCCACUAAAGCCACGAUGGGAGCUCCCACCACUGUGGUUUUCAAUCAACUUUGCCAUCUUAACCCUGGUGUGACUCAUAAAACAUAUCGGGACUGGGGAAAAUGGAUCAAGAGCCGGUCUGCAAGCCCCUGGUAGGUGAGUCUGCCAAGACAGGGUGGGCCCCUUGGUAUAAAGCCUGAGAGGGUGAGUUUGUGCCUGGGCCCUGCCUAGAAGCCUCUUUCAGGCAAAUGAACGCUGAUAGGAGGAUUCUGAUUUUCCAAAUGAGAUGUCCUCGGCCCUUCCUUCCACUCAGAACAGUCUCAUUUGUCAUUUCAGGGAGUGCCCCAGAGAUACCUGGUCACGUCCAAUGCCCAAAGGCAGACAAGCCCACACCAGUCCUGGCCUCGGGGUCCUCAGGACCAUUUCCAUGUAUUAGAUCCUCCUCAAUGUCUCAGCAAGCCCAUCUGUAAAAUGGGAAAGCAGCCAGCCAGCAGCUCAGGGACAAUGGCCAUUCCGGAGAGCCUUGGUCCCAGGAGACAAGCCUGGGGCCCUGGCAGCACUGGCAGCGGGAUCGUCCUGCCUUCAGAAGGGAAGGCAGGGGGUUCUGUACCUAGCCUCUCAGUCGGCCUUAUAUCUUGAAUAAAUUGCGUGUUGGAAUUUAAUUUGGAAUCCCUGCUGUUUCCUUGAUAAACGCAAACCACACUGCAAUUAGAGUGAUGAGGCAGGCUGCUGCCGCUCCUGAGACAAACAAUCUGUCUGAGCAAGAAGGGAGGGGACAGGCACUUGGCAGGUGGUGGGUGGACUCGUGCUGGGCGUGUUCUCUGCACUGCCCCCCCCCCUCCCGCCACCUCCCAGGGGAGAAAGGCCCUCAGGGGAUGAGGGUUGUCUACUAACGUCAGCUCCAGGGGGGCAGAGUGGAGAAAGGGUUUCGGGGAGACUAACGCUCGGUACAGCUGAUUCAACCUCUGACUCGGCUCUGAACCUCUGCUCCUUCACCAUCUCAAGUACAUAGUAUCUUGAGCAUUUGCUAUGGUUCAGGCACUGGGCUACGUGCUCUCAAGCUAUUAGCCUACUUAAUCCACUAAGUGGCUUCAGGGCACAGGCACACUCAUCAUCUCCAGGUUACAGGUGAGCUGUGUAAGGGAUGGUGGUAGGUAGGAUUUGAACCCAAUACCCAAGGUCCAAGUCCAUGUUUCACCUUAACCCAUGCAUUUCCCCCAAGGUUCCAGCUUUCCAGGAACUGGUCCAUCUCUCUCUGGUCAUUUGUUACCUCCUCCAAGGACCCCUGUGCCUCCUAUCCCCACACCUCAUAUUGCCUCACUGAAGGGGGAACCCGCUCCCUCUCCACCGUUUCACUGGCAGUGAAAUGGAGGACAGCUGGUGGAUGAGUUCAGGAGAACUGACAGUCCUCAGGGCCAUGGGAACAGGUGCAGGGGGCGUGCCUUGCCUUCCCCAUCUUCCAGGUGGAAAGCAGACUCUUGCGAGGGCUGCUCCUGGAAGCCUGAGCCAUCUGUUUUCUCUCCUGCCCCAGCAUCUCCAUCUGAGACUAGAUGGAAUAGUUGGUGUGGCCUCUUUUAUGAAGGGUUGGCAGAUGGAGUUGCCAAAAAGUGUCAUUUUGGCUUCAGGUCUGGGCUGCACACAUUCAAAACUGAUUUUUGAACCUUAUUUUGUUCAGUUCUUUGUACUGAUAUACUAUAAGCCAGAAUUCAGAGCAAGAGAGGAACUGGUCCCCUCAACCUAACUCCUAACUCACAGAUACCAGAGCUGAAUAUCCAUCAGCCCACCAAGCUCGCAGAGCCCAACUGCUGCAGCCCCCGGGAGGUCUGCCCAUGGCCUCCUACCUGUGGUAUAUUGUGGCUGCUGUCUGCAAAGAAACACAUGGGGCCUCUUUGGAGGAUGUGUAGGAGGAGCUUGUCCAACAAUGGCAUCACUGUUGGGUUGGGUGGCACUGGGUCAGUUAGGAAUGCUUUUGGCUGCAAGCCACUGAAAGUCCGACAAUGUUUUAAUUUUUUUUUUCUUAGUAGCAUGAGUCUCUAGGUGAAUGACUGCUGGCAUCCAUUCCAUGAUUCCAUGUCUUCAGGGACAGCAUCUUUAUGAGUCCCUUGAUGAUUCACUCAUGUGUAUGGUCCAUAACCAUUAGAUGUCUGCCCCAGCUCCAGGCAUCGGGUCCAAACUCAUGGUGAGGAAGAUGGAAGAGAUGCACCAGUAACUCUUGUGUGUGUUAUUAGGGAAACAAUUUUCCUAGACCCUGCAUCAGACUUCCCUUGACAUCUCAUGGGCCCGAAAUAGUCAUGUUGCCAUCCCUAGCAGCAAGGGAGUCUGGGAAAGAAGAUAUUUGGUACUUCUAGUCUACAAUGAAUUUGGGCAAUGGAGAGUGAAGUUAGGUCUUAAAUUAAUCAAACAAAAGGAUCUGCCACCACAUUUCUUGCGUUCACUUGGUUGGUUCCAUUGCAUGUGAACAUGAAAUAUACUUGGUUUGGGCUGAUCAGGCUUAGCAGCAACUUUUAUCUCACCUUGUCUCUUCUAACUCCCAUGGCAAAGUUGGCUCUUCGAAAAAGCCUCUUUGUCCAUCCUUGGUGAAACCCAGGGCUUAGUUGGCCAGGACUGGGACACAGGGCAUUCCCUAGGGCCCUGUAGCAUGGAUGAUGAUGACUGAUGAUGGGGUGGUGGUGAUAAAAAAUAGUCACAUGAGAUAAGUUCUAUUAUUAUUCCCAUUUUUCGGACAAGGAGACUGGGGUUUAGAGAAGUUGCAUGAAGUGACAGCACUCUAAGAGCCUGAGUUUGUGGUCACUGUGCCAUACCUUCCUGGAAUUCACUUUCCAGGACCAGAAGACCAGAAGGUAGCAAAUCUCCAAGGACUACAAAGGCCAGGAAUGGGGAAAUGUUCUGAGAUUAAUGAUCCAGGUAAUGCCACCGAUUGUCCAAAAUUGGUUACAUGCACAGCAUCAGUGAAGUUGAACGUGGUCUGGAGAGGCAGCAGACACACCACACACCUAGCUUUAUCCCACAGCUCGUUAAUCACCCUCAAUUCAAAAGCAUUUAUCAUGAUUAGAUUCAGGCCUGUCCCUGUGGUAAUAGAUUUUUUUUUUUAUAGAUACAAUGCAAAUAGAAAAUCACAUGUCCCCUGUGGCCUCUAAAGGUCAAGAUCUGGAGAUCAGGAUCAUUCAUUCAUUUAACAAAUAUAUAUUGUGUACCUACUGUGUGCCAGACACUGUUCUAGAUACUGGAAAUCCAGCAGGGAUCAAAAUGAAUAAAAACCUCUGCCUUCCUGGUGUGUAUACAUCUUUCCCCCUCAGGGGCAUGGCAGGCAGUAAAGAAAAUUAAGAGGUAAGUUGUAAAGAUUGUUAUAUGGUGUUCUCAUGCUCCCAGGAAAGGACUGAUUAUUCUAGUCAUGGGUACAAGUUUCCACCAGAACUAGUUUUAAACCUGUCUAAUCCAUCAAUGACACUUCUACACUUAAUGAAUUGAAGUGACAACUCACUUCAAUGAACACAAUUCUGAAAGCCAAGCAAUCAGUGACAGCUCCAUGGUGCAGAAGCCAGCCAAUUGCUGGUGGACUGGCUUCUGUGAACACACGUCUGAGGCUAACAUCAACUCAUUCCUGCCUCUAAAGCCAACACAACCCCAAAUAGACUCUUCCCAGUGACUAUAAAAGACCAGCGGUUUGCUCUGCUCAGAGAAACUCACGUGAUCAGCCUGGCUUUUCCUUUACUUAGGCAUAAGAAAUAUUUUCAGGAGUUCCUGUUGUGGCUCAGCAGUUUAAGAACCCAAUUGGUAUCCACAAAGAUGCAGGUUCCAUCCCUGGCCCCACUCAGUGGGUUAAGGAUCCGGCUUUGCCGCAAGCUGUGGUGUAGGUGGCAGACACAGCUCAGAUCUGGUGUUGCUAUGGCUGUGGUGUAGGCCGGUAGCUGUAGCUCCGAUUUGACCCCUAGCCUAGGAACCUCCAUAUGCCGCACCUUUGCACCCCCCACAAAAAAAAUAGGAUCUGGCGUUGCUGCAUUGGUCAUAGAUGCACCUCUAGCUAGGAUCUGGCAUUACUAUUGCUGUUGCUGUGGCAGUGGCAUAGGCCAGCAGCUGCAGCUUCAAUUUGAGCCCUAGCCUGGGAAAUUUCAUAUGCCUCAGGUGCACCCCUACCCCCCAAAAAACUAAAAGAAAGAAAUAUUUUCAGAUUUUGAGUGGCAGUCUUUGAUCAAGCUGGAGAUUCCAAUGAGAUUAUUUUGAAGGCCCUCAGUCCAACAGGUGGCUCACCAGCUCCUUUGUGCCCACGUGUAAUUACUGUUUUCUCUGACAUGUUUCAUUAAAAUAUCUUUGCUGAACUUAUUUCCUUAUCCUAGGAUUUGUAACCAAAUGGUUCUUUGUACAAGGAAAUUAGGCCUCAGUCAUUGUAUGAUGAGAACUUUUUUUGGAGUUGUGUCAUUUCGUGAGUAUUUUUGCCAUUAAUCUGUUUAUUCUUUUCCUGCUUGCUUUGCUUUUGGUUUUGUUUGACCAUUUGUACAAAGUCUUGUCUUGUAUGUUUUUGUUUUGACCUGGAUUACCUUGUGUCCGUUGAAAGCAUAGAGAACGCUCCACGGGGAGAGCUGGACAUGUAGGCUCCAAUCCAAUUCAAGCCAGCCCCAAGGACCACAAGCUGGAGGUCCAGAGACCAGUAAAUAAUUCAUGCCGAAGUGAUGGAUCAAAUUCUGUUCUGAGUCCCCUUCAAAAUUUUAUGAGAUGACUCCCCGUCUUAUUGAUUUAUAAAAGAAGGCCUCUUUGUUCAGUUUAUCCCAAGGUCAACAAUUGUUGGAUUAUUGACUCUCUGACCCCCCCGCCUCCAGCCUUUGUUGGAUUGAAGAAUCUGAAACACUAUUCAUAAGCACAAAUACUUUGGACCAACCACGGUGGUCUCUCUGUCCUAGGUUUGGCUAUGUCAAAGUUUUAACCUCCUCCUGGCCAAAUUCCUGCUUUUCCUAUGAAUUUUCAUUUAACUGGGUAAAUGGCAAAAAAAAAAAAAAAA